UGUUUGCCUGUCUUGUCUUUAGAUCAAUCCCCCUUCUUCACAUCACAUAUCUGGCACACCAGUCACUUGGACUGGCAUUGUCCCAUGCCACCACCGCUUCCAGCAAGCUCCAACAGGACAAAGGACACGUGGGUGUUUGCAGUGUGGUUACCGAUUUUCUCUGCAGGUGGCCGAGGGUGUUAGAUGGAUGGCCCAGUGGCCAAAGGGAGGCAUCGAGGGGAGGGGGGGGGGGAAAUCCUCUUGAUUCCUUAGAAGCCAAAGUAGCAACGUUUUUGAUCUUAGGAAUCCCCAGAGAUAUCAACUGGAAGGGUGUUUUUGUCAAAACAGAGAAACUAGAACAGGUCAUAGUCCUAUGGCAGGGACAGGAUCAGGGGCCACAGGCUGUGACAAAGCCUAGUUCCCCUAAAAAGGGGCCGAGAUACCCACGGGCUCGGGUGAGCUCAGAUUCCCCCUUCUAUGUCUCCAAGACAGAAGAACAGCAAAAUAUGCCUGGUCGACCGUCGGAGGAUGGGAGAGCUAAGAGGAGCAGGCCCUGACCCGGAUUCGACCCUACAGGUCCCUUCCGAGAACCCUCACCAGGUGUACCAUAACCCUGAGGAUCCAACCUUGCGCACCCUGGACUUCAGAGACCCUCCACGGGUGAAUCCUGACCUGGCAGGCAAUGGCCAGAAGGCAAAGGUUAGAAGGCAAAGAUCUGUUUGUUUCCGCUGCCCUGUGGGGGCCGCUUGUGCAAGGCUGAGGGGUAGAUACAGCCCCUCCUUCAUCCAGUUCCUGUUCCACCUCCCCGGUGUUCCACAGCAAAGGUCUGUCCCUCUGUGACCUGGUAAUGAGAUUUAGGGACGAUGGGUGCCAGGAACUACACCAGUGUGGCCCUGGGCUGGAGGUGCUCGGCCUACGGUGGCUAGGGGCAGAGUGGGAGCAGGCACUGGUCUGCAGUUGCCUCUGUCUAGGUUCUGUGGCUCGGCUGGGCUUCCUGCACCUCAAGGUUCCUGGACCUGUUGGUGAUCCCUCGGCGACUCUGCCAUCUGAGAUCCAGUCUGGGGGCUGGGGAAAGGCUCAGUGAUUAAGAGUGCUUUCUAUGUGCGUAUGGAGCCCUAAGUUUGGAUCCCUGCACGCACACCAAAAAGCAGGCAAAUGUGCUUGCUGCCAAGCUGGAGGACCUGAGUUUGAUCCUUGGAACCCUCACGGUGGAAGAAGAGAGUUGACUACUGGAGUUGUCCACUAUAGAAGGCACAGAUCACACCCCAACACAUACAUAACACACAUACAAUAAAGAAAUAGAAGUCAAGUUCUUAAAUUAAAUAGGAAUUUAAUUUUAGCAUAAGCAUGGACGGAGUCUAUGGGAGCACAGACUCCUCAGUCUAACCCUAACCCUAUCCCUAACCCUAACCCUACCCUCAUAUGCCUUUAGGAAGCUUCCUAUUAGGUUGAUGUACCAGAGGUCCCUGGGCUGAAUAAAAUGCUUCUGCCUCUUGA